rnacentral:rRNA from 1 species
UGGGGAAUAUUGCACAAUGGAGGGAACUCUGAUGCAGCGACGCCGCGUGAGUGAUGAAGGAAUUCGUUUCGUAAAACUCUGUUCUAUGGGAAGAAAAGGACUGUACCAUAGGAGAAAGCUCCGGCUAAAUACGUGCCAGCAGCCGCGGUAAUACGUAUGGAGCGAGCGUUGUCCGGAAUUAUUGGGCGUAAAGGGUGCACAGGCGGCUUUACAAGUUGGAUGUGAAAUAUUGUGGCUCAACCACAAACGUGCAUCCAAAACUGCAAAGCUUGAGUUAAGGAGAGGUAAGUGGAAUUCCUGGUGUAGCGGUGGAAUGCGUAGAUAUCAGGAGGAAUACCGGUGGCGAAGGCGACUUACUGGACUUAAACUGACGCUCAGGCACGAAAGCGUGGGGAGCAAACAGG